ensembl:lncRNA
GGCGUCAGAAGGGCGAGCGUCUGGGAUAUUUUAAUAUUCAGUAUUCCCAGACUCAGCAGGCAGCAGGCUAAAUCUGUCCGCUGAUGGGCAGGCAUGAAUUAUGAAACCACUCACGUAGGUUGAGAGGUUGCCCGGUGCUGGGGAAGUGUGUCCACCAGCGUCUCCUCAAGCAGGUGGGGGGAAGGGUCGCUCCCCAGUCGGGAGGGAAGGUCGGAUGUGGACAGCUUGCAGUUCCUGCCCAGUAAAACACCAUCUGCAGAUGAGGAGGUCAAAGUGCUGAGUUCCAGUCCUGCAUCUGCUGUCACCGCCGGCCAUGAUGUAGGGCAAGUCACUCCCCCAGUGGGCUUUCAGCUUCUCCUUCUAAAAGCUGAUCUCCAGGGCCCUUCCAGCUCCACAGAUUUCUGGUAUUCACUGACGGAUGCUCUUGGACUUUGGAACCACAGUGUGUUUGGGAGAUUUUGCUUUUGAAGGUUUCCUUUUGAGAUUGCCUUCAUUCACUGGGCAUCUUCUUGCUGAGAAAUACCAUCAAGAAAGCAAAGACUGAAGUUCCUUUUCCUUCCCCAAAUGUGAUGCUUAAAUAAAAUUCAGUUUUGUGGCUCAAACACAGAGGAGUAGGGAAUGGAGAGGUUUUCUCCUGUCUUUGAGCAGUCCCAGCGGAGGCUAUAAACAGCACGAUAUCCCUUCUACCAGAUGGGCCACUGCACUUGGAGAGCCAAGCCGUCACAGAGAGUUGAGAAAUCAGUUGCAGAGAUGAGGAAAGGCUGGUGGCUGUGAUGUUGGUUUAUUCUCACAGCUGAAUAUAGUCAGCCCGGAGGCCUGGGAGAAGAUGGAGAAGACUAACCACUCUGAGAGGGUCUCAAACACGAGGUGGCGGGCUGUGAAGUUCCAAGUCACAGCUCAGGGAACUGGGAAAAUGGCCCCUUGGGCUGACUUUGGAUGCAAGGCCUUCUUGAGAGCAGGGCCAGCCUCAGGGAACAUUGGGACGGGCAGGGUUAGCUGGUCCUCGAAGCCUCUUUGGUGGCUUUGCCUCAUUUUUCUUAGUGCUCUGAUAUCUAGCCUCAGAUAUCCAGGGCUUCCUGCUGCCCCCAGAGCCCUUCCCACCAUGACUUACCUAGGCCACUGUUCAUUUAUCCAGUGACUAUUGUUUUUAAAUUUUUUUCGGCCCUCUUCCUUUCACCAUCAAUUUUAUUAAAAUUUUACCCGGGGGAUAGCACGGUGGAGUAGAAAGAGUCAUGGCCUGUGGAUGAUGAUCUUGGUCCUUUUACUCAUAGCACUGGGAACUUGGGUGAGUUGCUUGACUUCCCUGAGCCUCAGUUUCUCACUUUUGAGAUGGGUACAGUAAUAUGUAACAUAUAGUGGGGGAAUUAGAUGAGAUACAAAGGUUACCUCCAAAAAAAAAAAAAACCACCACAAGAAAUGUUAUUUCUUCCUUUCUGUUCCAUCUUAUACUUCCUGUCCAUUAGAAUCUGGGGAACUUAAAAAAUAAUGCUAAUGCCUGGGAUCCACCCCAUCCCCCACGGGGAGUUGGUACUCUUUGAAAGCUCCUGAGAUGACCGUGUGCAGCUGGGUUGAGACCCCCUGCCCUCAGGCAUCGCUGAUGAAGAGUUGGCUCCUCUAGGCUCAAUGCUGCUUCUAUUCUCAUCGCACUGGACCCGACUCCCAAAGUCAAUCUGUCUUGUGUGUUUUAGUCUGACAAAUAGCAGGUGAUUAAUUAAGGUUUGUGCACUGGAUCCUUCCCCUGUGUCCUGGAAAUUUGUUUUCAUCGGCACCGUAACAGGAGUGGGGCCAUCUUUUCUUCUGGUAUAAGAGGUGGGAGAGGGUAGAUUCGAUGUCCUGAGACGUUGUGGCAGAGAUCACUGGCUGAAAACCAGACAUUCUCUGGGACAUUGGCUGAGAAUCAGAGGGGCCAGGUAGGACAGGUGAGCUGGUUGGGUGGAUUUCCUGUCUUCCUUCAGCAAUGCCGAGGCAGGAAGCCAGGCACCCAGGCUGGGAUGAACUUGGUGAAUCUACGAAUCUGGGGAUUGGGCCAUUCCAAGGUGCUAUGGGCAACGAGACUGUGCCUGACCGUGAGGUGAGCCCUGGGAGGGGAGGCAGGUAUUUCUGACUGCAAGUGGCUUCCUGGGCUACUCCUUCUCCCUCCCAGUUACGUCUUGAAGGAGAUCUUCAAACUGUACACUCUUGACCAAUCUGGAGGUCAUCCGCAGACAAUUCUUGCGUACCCCAAAGCUUCCUGCAUCUUCUGCCUGAGGGUGUUCUCCGGUGGUGGGAGCUUGGCCCUCACUUGGUGGCAUGCUGGAAGUGUUGGGAAAUUGAUGGUUUUGGUCCAGCUUCACAUGGAGGGAUGGCACUUGGUGGAUGAACACCCGAGCUUCCCUGCCCUUUGAUGAGACAGACCUGAGGCAUGUUCUGCACUGUUCCUAGAGGGUCUCUUAUGUGACUGAGCCACGGAUGCCCACGAUGACAACACUCUUGUCAUGAACCUUUGGCUGGCUUUCUUCCCUUCCCUCUCUCACUUCCCCACUCCCUCCCUGUCUUUCCUGGGAUCACCUCACAAAUAGGCUACUUGGAUCCCAAUCCUUGUCUCAGGGUCUGCUUCUGAGGGCAAACAUUUGUUUUUCAUCAUCCUUUUUUAACUCACAGGAGUUUAACGUCUCAGUCUACACAUCUGUCUUGUGAGAUGGAUCGGUCAACGUUCUCUGGGGAUCCAUUAUGGAGCUCACCACUUUAUGUCUUCACUGUUUUUCAGUCUUUCCUUCUGGAGCCUUCACGGAUAGGGAGGGGAAGGAAAUCAUGUUAAAAGUACAGCGCUUUCCAAUCCACAGAUUGCAAUCCAUAAGGAGUUACAAAAGCCAUUUUUGAAAAAUGAAAGGAAACGAAUAUGAUGUAUCAGAGUAUACUACGCAUUGGAAGGCUCCAUACUGUUAUAUAAAAACUGCAUUUCAGUCAUGUGUGAAUAUUCUUGCAUGUUGGUGAAAUAUAUUUCUUAAUGUGGAUUGUGAUCAAAAAUUUUUGAAGUCACUGCCAUGGUGGGCCUCUGUGGUUUAUGCCUCUCCAGGAUCCAUUCUUCCCUUUCCUUCUGUUAAGAGCACCUCAAUAGUCCUUACAACAAGGAAAGAUUAUGCCUCUACUUGGACAUAGUCUUGAUGGGACUGUCAGUCAAAGUGUUCCACCAUUCCUUUCUCUAAAGAUGGUCACAUGACCCACGGCAGGUCCGUCAGAUGAUCGCUCCAGGGAACCUGAAUCUAGAGAGGACACAGACAAGGGCUGAAAUAGCUGAGGAUGCUUCAUUCAAAGAGGAUGUCUGGAAAUCAACAUAUAUUUUUUCCCCUGCUACCUGGAUCCUUGAACUUUCUUGUUUUCUUUCCCUUCUAAGAUUUGGGUGUUCAGCCUUUGGGUUGGUUCUGUGAAAUAGCUGUGGACCACUUCUCUAUUUUUUUUACCCCUUAGGUAGGGAGAGCUGUUUUCUGUUGCUAGAAACCAAAGAACCCUCUCGUACCUAAGGGCUUUGGAGUUAUCUGACCCUAACUCUACUACUUUCUGCCUCUGUGAGUGGAAAAUUACUUAACUUCUCUAAGCUUCAGUUUCCUCUCUUGUAAAAUGGGGAUGUUAAUGUCAGUUUAGAGGGUAUAGAUGAUAUUUAUAUGGCCACUGGCCCUAGACCCUCAACUAAAGGCAGCAACUAUUGUGGACCAAAUUUUAAUCAUCUUUGUUUUACUAGUGAUGACUUUCCACUUAUUAAAUAUCUGUGGAGUGAAUAAAUGAACCCACAUGACAAUGUGGAUUUUCACGAUGAAAACCCACAGCUGAGUAUCUUAGACAGUUACAACCCCUUGGGUAUCAAACAUGUGAUUUAUUGUUCAAAAAGUUAAUAUGAGAAAAUCUCCAUGACCUGGGUUAGGCAAAAGAGUGCUUACUAAUGAUAAUAAAACCAUAAUCCCUAAAAGAAAAAAUUGAUACACUGGACAUCCUCCAAAUUAGAAACUUCUGCCCCAUGAAAGAUAAUGUUAAGAGAAUAAAAAGACAACCUAGAGACUGGGAGAAAUAUUUUGCAAAUCGCACAUCCAACAAAGGACUUGUAUCUAGAGUAUAUAAAACCUGAAAAACACACAACCUAAUUUAAAAAUGAGCAAAAGACUUAAACAGAUGUAUCACCAAAGAGGACAUACAGAGGGCAAAGAAGUGCACUGAAAGAUGCUCCGCAUCAUUAGUCAUUAGGGAAAAGCAAAUUAAAGUCAUGAUGAGAUACAACCACAUACGAUCAGAAUGGCUAAAAUCAAAAUACUGACAAUACCAAGGGCUGACAAGGAUGCAGAACAACUGGACCUCUCCCACAUUGCUGGUGGGAAUGGAAAAUGGCUCAAGUACUCUGGAAGACAAUUUGAUCAUUUUUUAUAAAGUUAAACCUCCACAUACCACAUGGCCCAACAAUCCUGCUCCUGAGAAAUGAAGUGAAAACUUAUGUUCACGCGAAACCCGUACACAUCUUUGUAGCAGCUCUAUUCAUAAUCAUUCCAAGCUGGAAACAGCUCCGAUGUCCUUCAGCAGUUGAGUGGAUAUACAAACUGUGGUACAUCCCUACAACGUCAGAAAACCCAGUAAUAAAAAGGAAUGAAGUAUUGAUGACACAACAAACUUGGACGAAUUGUAGAGGCAUUAUGCUGAGUGAAAGAAGCCAGUCUCAAAGAAAAAGGGACUUCGCUAACGUGAUUCAAUUAAGGAUUUUGAGAUGGGGAGAAUAUUCUGGAUUAUUCGAGUGGGCCUGAUGUCAUCACAGCGUCCUUGUGAAUGAAAUAGAAGAGUCAGAGAAGGAGAUUUGGGGAUGGAGGUAGAGGUCAGGGCGAUGGGAUUGCUGACCUUGAAGAUGAAGGAAGUGGGGCCAUGAGCCCAGAUGUGCGGGCGGCCUCUGAGAGCUGGAAAAGGCAAGAAAGCAGCUUCUCCCCUAGAGUUUCAGAAACAAAGGCCAUACCUUGAUUUUAGCCCAGCGAGACCUAUCUCAGACUGUGGCCUCCAGAAAGCUUGCACGCUGUUGGCUGUCUCAGGCUCUCCACGUGGUGGCGAGACGGUAGCUCCAGCCCCUGAAUCCUCUGGGUUCCUGGGACAGCGGGAGAGAUGUCCUCCUUUUCUCAACAGCUCAAGCAAGUCAUGGGAUGAAAUAAUUCAAAAAAUAUUUACUGAGGGCCCACUAUGCACCAGGGACUCUUCCGUAUGCUGGGACACGGAGAAGAAGAGACAGAAGAGCUUCUGGUCGUCAUGGAGCUUUCACACGACAGCCUUUGUGGGCUCUGAUUGGACUGUCUUUGGACACGUGCUAUCUGUGAACCAAUCACUGUAGCCUGGAGUAUGUGACGUAAGGAGUGGCUUGGGCUGGGUCGUGUGCCCCUCUUAAAGAAGGCAAGCUGCUUCUUUGUGAGUGCAGGCACUAUGUCCUGGUUAUGUUUGUGGUGUGUCUCCAGGCGCAACGCAAGGAUGUGCCCAUCAUAAGCAUAUGAGAAAUGAUGCCACAUGAGUGAGUGAACAACUGAAUAAAUAAGCAAAAGAGGGAGAAAGUACAUGAUAGGCAAAUGCAUAGAAACUCCUUAAAAGGGGACAAAUCCAAACAAACAACCAUAAAAUGAUGGCUAUCAGUGGCCAACCAGAAAAGUGAUAUAAUAGUCACUGUAAAUUGUGUGCUAAAAAUAUUUGCACAGUGUUUCUCAUCAGGACAAGAAAAUCCUACUCAUUAUUCAGAGAAACAUUAGAAACAAAACUGAAGUUGUGGUUACUUUCGAAGUCGUCCUUGGGGUCGACAAACCCAAGGGUCACUCUGGGCCUCACACUUUGAGGAGCAUGUGAAAGAAGCAAUGCAGACAGCUCACAGCUGGCAGGUAAAAUAUGUUGAUGUCAUUAUGUAAACAUCUGCCACCCUCACCUUUCCGCUUUCCCUGUCUCAGCCUGCUGUGGACACCUGGGAAACGUUUCUCCUCGCUGUCUGAUGUUCUUGGGCACAGCCUCUCAGUUUCUUUGAUGGAGGCUGCCUUUGAUGUUCAUUUUAUGCAGAUUUCAAUUGGUAAAAAAAUACAAGGCAAGAAAAAAAUCUGAAAGAAAAAUUUAUACCUCUAAAACCUAGCAUGGGAAGGGUCUUUUAUUGGUCCUAGAUCCUGAAAGAUUUGUUUCCAACUGUCUUGUACAAAACCUCGGUGGGUCAGCACGUGGAGGAAUGUGUGUAAUUUUAGUCGUUGCACAGCUCAAGAAAGGACACGUAGAGGACACACAGGAAGAGGCAAACUAAAUUAUUAAGAGGACCCUACCUUUGAACAAGACUUUAAAGGAUAUGGACCCAAAAGUGGAAAGACCAAAGUUUUAAAGAAAUAAGUAGAUGCUAUGAGUUCAUGAAGGGCAUGGGAAAGAUGCCUAUAAAUGAGCUGGUUCGCCAAAUCCCAAUGGACCCAAAUAUGAUGUUUCUAAAAGGAUGGCUCAUAGUGAGUAGGAGUGGUUGCAAACAAUGGUGGCAAACACUUGGAAUUUACUACCCUUAGAAGUAGCACUGUUUGAAAAGAUAAAGUUCUUUAAGAAUUUGGGUAAGUCUAUGGGUGAGAGAGCAAGAGGGAGUCUUCAGAGAUGGGAGGGUGCUCUAGAGGCAGCCCCACCCAUAAGGGACAAUCACACCCACCCUCAGUUCUUCUGUCAGAGACAGAGUGUUAGACAAGCAUCCAGGUGGAUCAUGGACGAGCUCAGGACAGGUCUCAACAAUGUUGUGAGAAUAAACCAAGGAGAUCUGCUGUAUGUUUGAGGUUUUUCUGGGACAAGAAUGGUUAUCAUUAGAAUUAAUGCCAUGAAUGAAUGAUUAAGCAAAUAACUGAAGAGAAAUCAUGAGUAGAGGGCUUUUUGUAACUUUUCCUCUUGACAUAAUUACAGACUCACAGGAAGUUGCAAACGUAGUACGGAGUCACAUGUACCCUUCACCCCGCUUCCUUCCAAUGGUGACAUCUUAUAAAGCUGUAGUACAAAAUCAAAACCAGGAAAGUGACUUUGGUACAUUACUGUUAACUAGGCUACAGACCUUAUUUUGCUUUCACCAUUUUUUAAGGCUGCGUUCAUUUGUGUGUGUGUCUAUGUAAUUUCAUUCCAUAGAUAGAUUCGCCUCAUCACCGUCACAAUUAAGAUACAGCCCUGCUCUAUCGCCACAGAACUCCUUCAUGCUACCUCUUGCAUUCCCACCUGCCCAUCUUCCCCCUCCCCUGGCAACCACUAAUCUGUUCUUCAUUUCUAUGUUUUGUCAUUUCAGCAAUGUCACAAAAGUAGAAUCAUACCUCAAAACGUAUGUAACCUUCACAGACUGACUGUUUUCAUUAAGCGUAAUGCCCUUGAAGACCAUCCAGGUUGUUGCAUGUGCCAAUAGUUCAUUUGUUUUGCUGCUGAGCAGUAUUUCAUUGUACGGAUAUACCAAAGUUUGUUCUGCCACUCCCCUAUUAAAGGACAUUUGGGUUGUUUUCAGUGUUUUGCUUUUAUGAAUAAAGCUGCUAUGAACAUUCACGUACAUGUUUUAGUGUGAACACAAGUUUUCACUUCUCUGGGAGAAAUGUUCAGGAGUAUGAUUGCUGGGUUAUACGCUAAGUGCAUGUUUAGUUUCGUAAGAAACUGCCAAACUAUUUUCCACGGUGGCUCUACCAUUUUACAUUCCCUCCAGCAGGAUGUGAA